UACGAAGGGGGCUAGCGUUGCUCGGAAUCACUGGGCGUAAAGGGUGCGUAGGCGGGUCUUUAAGUCAGAGGUGAAAUCCUGGAGCUCAACUCCAGAACUGCCUUUGAUACUGAGGAUCUUGAGUUCGGGAGAGGUGGGUGGAACUGCGAGUGUAGAGGUGAAAUUCGUAGAUAUUCGCAAGAACACCAGUGGCGAAGGCGGCUCACUGGCCCGAUACUGACGCUGAGGCACGAAAGCGUGGGGAGCAAACAGG
rnacentral:rRNA from 1 species